CACCAGCGGGCACUUUGCACCCCCUGUACCCCAAGUGCUCCAGGGCACAGGCUUCUUCCUUCAGGAGUGCAGGUCUUUCUGAGCCAGAAAGAACAGAACCUGUGGGUGACCCUGGGCCAGCUCUCUUUCCUGUGCUUCCAUUUCCACCUAGGGGGCAAGGAGACUAGUGUCAGCUUGGAGAGCUGCCUGAAGCUGUGGGCCCAGGACUCCUGAUGGGGUGCUGUGUCUGCCAGGCCGGGAAGCCACAGGGUGGGAGGCCAGUUGUGCACAGGUCCUGGGAUGGCUGCCGGCCUCAUGGGCUGUGGUCACCGGCUCUGACAUCUUUCUCUCACCAGACACUGAGUCUCACUGUGGAGCCCAGAGCAGCCUUGUGCCCACAGCCUUAGCCUCCCCAGGCCUGCGGUUGCAGGCAGGCACCGUGGGGACAGACAGUGGGGGUGAAGGUUGCCCAGCGGCCCAGGCCUGUGCAGGGGAGGAGCCAGCAGUGGUUCGGAGAGCGGCAGCCACUUGCUCGAAGACCUCAAGCCAGCCUCAUCUGCUUGGGACGCAGCCUUGACUGCAGACUCCUCUGCGGUUCUAAGUGAUCGGGCAGCAGAGCAGAGGACAGCCCUGCCCACCCCUGCCUCUCUCCAUGAAAGCAAAAUCCCACUCUGAGUUUAUACAGUGCGGUUCCAGGAAAAUUUCCAUGUAAAGAAAAAAAAAAAUAAAGAUUUCUGCUGCUAAAAAAUAAAAUUUCAAAAAAUUGCCUAAUAA